rnacentral:rRNA from 1 species
GACGAACGCUGGCGGCGUGCUUAACACAUGCAAGUCGAACGGAAAGGCCCCCUUGUGGGGUACUCGAGUGGCGAACGGGAGAGUAACACGUGAGUAACCUACCCUUGACUUUGGGAUAACUUCAGGAAACUGGGGCUAAUACCGGAUAGGAGCUCCUGCUGCAUGGUGGGGGUUGGAAAGUUUCGGCGGUUGGGGAUGGACUCGCGGCUUAUCAGCUUGUUGGUGGGGUAGUGGCUCACCAAGGCUUUGACGGGUAGCCGGCCUGAGAGGGUGACCGGCCACAUUGGGACUGAGAUACGGCCCAGACUCCUACGGGAGGCAGCAGUGGGGAAUAUUGCACAAUGGGCGGAAGCCUGAUGCAGCAACGCCGCGUGCGGGAUGACGGCCUUCGGGUUGUAAACCGCUUUCGCCUGUGACGAAGCGUGAGUGACGGUAAUGGGUAAAGAAGCACCGGCUAACUACGUG